AUUGAACGCUGGCGGCAGGCCUAACACAUGCAAGUCGAGCGAGCGGCGGACGGGUGCGGAAUGUCUGGGAAACUGCCUGAUGCAGGGGGAUAACUACUGGAAAACGCAGCGAAUACCGCAUACCAGCAGCUUUGGCCAGAUGGGAGUAGCUAGUCGGUGGGUGAACGGCCCACCUAGGCGACGAUCCCUAGCUGGUCUGAGAGGAUGACCGGACAAACUGGAACGGAGACACGGCCCAGACUCCUACGGGAGGCAGCAGUAGGGAAUAUUGCACAAUGGGCGAAAGUCUGAUGCAGCCAAGCCGCGUGAGUGAAGAAGGCUUUCGGGUUGGAAAGCACUUUCGGCGGGGAGGCGUUACCUGCAGAAGAAGCAACGGCUAACUACGUGCCAGCAGCCGCGGUAAUUC
rnacentral:rRNA from 1 species